GACGAACGCUGGCGGCGUGCUUAACACAUGCAAGUCGAACGGAAAGGCCCUGCUUUUGUGGGGUGCUCGAGUGGCGAACGGGUGAGUAACACGUGAGUAACCUGCCCUUGACUUUGGGAUAACUUCAGGAAACUGGGGCUACUAUAGGAUAGGAGCUCCUGCUGCAUGGUGGGGGGUGGAAAGUUUCGGCGGUUGGGGAUGGACUCGCGGCUUAUCAGCUUGUUGGUGGGGUAGUGGCUUACCAAGGCUUGGACGGGUAGCCGGCCUGAGAGGGUGACCGGCCACAAUGGGACUGAGAUACGGCCCAGACUCCUACGGGAGGCAGCAGUGGGGAAUAUUGCACAAUGGGCGGAAGCCUGAUGCAGCAACGCCGCGUGCGGGAUGACGGCCUUCGGGUUGUAAACCGCUUUCGCCUGUGACGAAGCGUGAGUGACGGUAAUGGGUAAAGAAGCACCGGCUAACUACGUG
rnacentral:rRNA from 1 species